rnacentral:rRNA from 1 species
CCUACGGGGGGCAGCAGUAAGGAAUAUUGGACAAUGGCCGCAAGGCUGAUCCAGCCAUGCCGCGUGCAGGAAGAAGGCCCUAUGGGUCGUAAACUGCUUUUGAACGGGAGAAAACCCUUGCUCGUGAGCGAGGCUGUUAGUACCGUUAGAAUAAGCAUCGGCUAACUUCGUGCCAGCAGCCGCGGUAAGACGAAGGAUGCAAGCGUUAUCGGGUUUCAUUGGGUUUUAGGGGAGCUUGUAAGUCCGUGGAGAAAUCUGUGGGCUUAACCCACAAACUGCCAUUGAUACUGCAGGUCUAGAGUACAGUUGCCGUUGGCGGAAUAUGACAUGUAGUGGUGAAAUACUUAGAUAUGUCAUAGAACACCGAUUGCGAAGGCAGCUAACGAAGCUGUAACUGACGCUGAGGCGCGAAAGUGCGGGGAUCAAACAGGAUUAGAUACCCCAGUAGUC